GACGAACGCUGGCGGCGUGCUUAACGCAUGCAAGUCGAACGAUGAAACCUAGCUUGCUAGGUCGAUUAGUGGCGAACGGGUGAGUAACACGUGACUAACCUGCCCCUUUCUCUGGGAUAACGCUCCGAAAGGAGUGCUAAUACCGGAUACUCACAUCGAGGCACAUGCCUUGGUGUGGAAAGUUUUUCGGAAAGGGAUGGAGUCGCGGCCUAUCAGCUUGUUGGUGAGGUAACGGCUCACCAAGGCGACGACGGGUAGCCGGCCUGAGAGGGCGACCGGCCACACUGGGACUGAGACACGGCCCAGACUCCUGCGGGAGGCAGCAGUGGGGAAUGUUGCACAAUGGGCGCAAGCCUGAUGCAGCGACGCCGCGUGAGGGAUGAAGGUCUUCGGAUUGUAAACCUCUUUCAGUAGGGACGAAGCGAAAGUGACGGUACCUAAAGAAGAAGCACCGGCUAACUACGUGCCAGCAGCCGCCGUAA
rnacentral:rRNA from 1 species